GACCAGAUGCCCUUCAAGUGUCUGUCGCAAAACCCCGUCAGAGGAGGAAUCCAGCAGCGGUAUGCGACUAGAGCUGUGCUUGGGAUUAUCUGGUCCUU
rfam:Treponema bryantii strain B25 genome assembly, contig: Ga0070255_104